UCUGAACCAAAGCAGUACUCUAUUAUCCCUUUAUGCAAGAUCUACUGGAGUAGCGUGAUAACAAAGCACAGCCAAGGCAUUUUGAACUCUUUGUACUCAUUUCACUAGAGCUUGACUAGAGAUUGGGAGUUGAGGGGAUCCAAAAUGAAUAGAGAGUGGAUUCAUUCUAAAAACAAACUCUGCCAAGAAUACAAGGAAGGUAUUCAGUCUUUCAUUGAUGUUGCAAAACAUCAUUUGAAUGCAAAUAAUGAGACAUUAUGUCAUUGUGAUACCGAAACAAGUUAUGUUGAUGGGGUAGACCAAGAAGAAGAGGCUAGCAAUAUCAUUCAUCCCAUUGAAGAGAAUGUUAAUUCAAUGCCAACACUUUGUAGAAGAGAUGUCGAACCUGAAAUUGUUGGUUUGAGUAGCAAAGAUAUUGAACAAAGCAACAUAAGUGACGAUGAUUUUAUCGAUGAUAAUCCUCUAGAUGAGGAAUUACUAUCAGGAGAUGAAGAUAACACUCGAGAAAGUGAUGGAUACAGUGACUUGAAUUAAGUUGGAUCGAUAUGUGGCUAGGAGCAUGAAGGUUAAUUAUGUGGUAGGCUCCUACCUUGAUCCCCUUAUAGUUAAGGUAUACUGAUAAGACACAUGUUCAAGGAUAGUCCAUAUGCCUCUGGU